UGGGGGAUAUUGCACAAUGGGCGAAAGCCUGAUGCAGCGACGCCGCGUGGGGGAUGAAGGCUUUCGGGUUGUAAACCUCUUUCGCUAUCGAACAAGGCCCGCUUAGGGUGGGUUGAGGGUAGGUGGAGAAGAAGCGCCGGCUAACUACGUGCCAGCAGCCGCGGUAAUACGUAGGGCGCGAGCGUUGUCCGGAAUUAUUGGGCGUAAAGGGCUUGUAGACGGCUUGUUGCGCCUGCUGUGAAAACGCGGGGCUUAACUUCGCGCGUGCAGUGGGUACGGGCAGACUUGAGUGUGGUAGGGGUGACUGGAAUUCCAGGUGUAGCGGUGGAAUGCGCAGAUAUCUGGAGGAACACCGAUGGCGAAGGCAGGUCACUGGGCCAUUACUGACGCUGAGGAGCGAAAGCAUGGGUAGCGAACAGG
rnacentral:rRNA from 1 species